CCAGUACAACAACACCCAUCAAAAUAAAAUAAAAUGUUUUUAGCUAACAUGAUUAAUAGCCGAAUUCUCAAUUAAAUAAUAUCUAAUUGAAAAUUUAUCAAAAUACCAAUACAAUUAUAGAUAAUUAUUGAUUGCUGCUACUUCAUCUACAAUUUACAAAAAGUUUCAAAACAAUUACUUUAGAUGACUGGUGCAGCCAAAACUUCCAAGCAGGACCUCAACUAAGGUUCGACAGAAAGAAGGAUGCCUCAAUUUGUGCAAGAUCCCUUUACCAAAACAUACCUCAAUUUGUGUAAGAAAGAAAGAUGCACUGAUUGACACUCAACAACAGCAACACAAUAUUCACAAAAUCUCUUCCAAUAAUGCUCCAAGAUGAUUUAUCUUCUCAUCUCAUGGUUGCACGACUUGAUUGGUCGUUUCGCGACAUCAACUAAUACCAGAAAUUCACAUAACAGUUCAGUAUAGAAAGGCACAGAAAUUACCAGAAAUUCACAAACCCGAUAACUGAGACCUAGAAAAGAGACUCACCAUAGAGUGGCUGCAGUUGGAUUCACUUCACUAACGGAUUUGAAUCUGACCAUAAGGAAGCAAAUCUAACGGUCGCGGAUAACUGGAUGGUUUUGGUUUGGACGAUUAUUUUGAGUUCAGUUCCAGUUCCAGUUCGAGCUUGCAGCCGCAGCGACGAGCUUGCAGCGGCGGCGGCGAGCAGAGGGGACAAAAGAAGACAGAAGUGUGGCUGAAGGUCACGACUCGAGUCUGUGGCUGAAGGUCACGACUCAUGAGUUCGAUUUUUGCUUUUGGCUGAAGGUCACGACGAGCAGCGGCCAGCGGGAACAGAAGAAGUCAUGACGAG
rnacentral:lncRNA from 1 species